rnacentral:rRNA from 1 species
UACGUAGGCAGCGAGCGUUGUUCGGAGUUACUGGGCGUAAAGCGUGCGCAGGCGGUUUUGUAAGUCUGAUGUGAAAUCCCCGGGCUCAACCUGGGAAUUGCAUUGGAGACUGCAAGGCUAGAAUCUGGCAGAGGGGGGUAGAAGUUCCACGUGUGAGCAGUGAAAUGACGUAGAGAUGUGGAGGAACGACCGGAUGGCGCAAGGCAGCCCCCUGGGAUCGAAGAUUGUACGGCUCAU